ACAAAAAAUGUAGCGCCAGAGCCCAUUUGGGUUGACGAGGAAGAGGUUAAUCGAAGUUUUCGGCGGGUGCCUCUCGGUGGCUUGUCAUCGUUAGAUUCGUUGCAAAUCCGGAAAGCAAUUUCCGGGACAAGAGCGGAUCAAACAGGAAG
rnacentral:ncRNA from 2 species